ensembl:lncRNA
CACAGAGCUCUGUUCUCCCAUAUGGAACAGCGGCGCCCUGAUGCCAAACAGAAGAAUAUUUCCUGGCAGCAUCGUUUGUUGUAAGUCUUAAAAGAUGCUCUGAUCACAAAGAAGAAAGUGGAGCACACACUCCAGCCUUUCCUCACCACGAGGGCAGCCGAGCAAUUUCAAGAGGCAGCAGCAGGAGGUUGGCUCCUUUCCCUUGUCAGGAACUUCAAAACACCCCCAAAGAAAGAGGAAUCUCCAUAUCCAAUUAAGAGUGGGGGACACCACAAAGGUCUAUAGUGGUCACCAGGGAUGCAUGUCAGGCAUGUGCAGCAUGUUAUGGAAUCAUCUGCGAGGAGAUAGAAGACCAUGCAGAAACAAACACAACCCCAGAGAAAGGUUCCCCGUUGCAGUGCUGGGCAGUGCAUGCUCCCUAGAUCUGCUCCAUGAUGCUCUGAGGUUGUAAUUGUGGCAAUCUUGGGUGUGUUUUAUUCUGAUUUCCUACGGACAGCAUAGAUAAACACAAAAUGAGGGAAGCCUGAAGUUCAGGCCUCUGAGCAUUCCCAAAUGCCCAAAGAAGAGAAGACCUGAAGUUUAUUGUUGUUUCUUUCUGCCCUUCUCAAACACCUCACGCUCCAACUCAGCAGCAACUUGGUGUGCUUAAAGCACGUUAUACCAAACUUAAGGGAAAGUACUUACAACUCGUGAACUUGCUUUGAGUUUGGGCACCAAUGUCUGGUAUUUAGAAGGAUUUCAAACACAUCUGAAGUCGUGACUCUUCCCUUCAGAGUCUGACAGUGGUAUUAAUGCAGUUCUCCCCACCAUGUAAU